CUCUAACCUAUGGAGCGCCUACUACCUACUAUUUCUUCAUUUCGUCCUGCCCUGUAAUUGGAUUUCCUCCAGGAGGGGAACUCGCUGCUCACCAAAAUGGCCCUGCCCAAGCUCACUUUCAGUUUUAAGAGCUUCAUUCAAUUU